rnacentral:rRNA from 1 species
UACGAAGGGUGCAAACGUUGCUCGGAAUUAUUGGGCGUAAAGCGCGUGUAGGCGGCUUGGUAAGUCCGCUCUGAAAGCCCGGGGCUCAACCCCGGGAGGCGGGUGGAUACUGUGAAGCUCGAGUCCGGAAGAGGCGAGUGGAAUUCCUGGUGUAGCGGUGAAAUGCGCAGAUAUCAGGAGGAACACCAAUGGCGAAGGCAGCUCGCUGGGACGUGACUGACGCUGAGACGCGAAAGCGUGGGGAGCAAACAGG